rnacentral:rRNA from 1 species
UACGUAGGGGGCAAGCGUUGUCCGGAUUUAUUGGGCGUAAAGAGCGUGUAGGCGGCUUUACAGGUCCGUUGUGAAAACUUGAGGCUCAACCUCGAGACGCCGGUGGAAACCGUAAAGCUAGAGUCCGGAAGAGGAGAGUGGAAUUCCUGGUGUAGCGGUGAAAUGCGCAGAUAUCAGGAAGAACACCCGUGGCGAAGGCGGCUCUCUGGGACGGUACUGACGCUGAGACGCGAAAGCCAGGGGAGCAAACGGG